GAGAGAGAAGAAGCUAAUUUUCCUUCUUUGCUAUCUGCUAUUGCUGUAUAGUGCCUGUAGUGCCUGUACUCUGUUAAAGGCACUGUCACUACCGUAUUUUGCUGUACAAGCAGGAUUCCAGUCUUUGAGAUUUGAUCAGAUAGCAAAGCGAACUCACCAGCAAAAGGGUAACAUCUCUAAAGGUUGCAGCAUCAUCUCAACUGAAGCCUGAUGUACCAUAAAACAUGUGGAGCGUUUCUGCCAAAAUUUUCAUGUAAACACUGGGAAUGAGAAUGUACCUGAGCUCAGAAAUCUUCCCAUGUGAAGAGAAAGAAAACAAAGGUACUACCAGAGCACUGACAGCAGGAUUUGUGGCCUUUUGUCCAUUACAAAGCUUCCUUGUGGGCAGCAAAUGCCAUUGGUUUGUAUGUUGCUGGCAGAUUUAUGAAAACAUAAAAGAAGAAUAAAACCUCUACCUACUGCUGCAUAGCCUGGAAAUAAUCAUGUAUACAUUAUCUUUUAUCAUUCUCACAUAACAUAAUGUUUCUUAAAGAUGAUGUGCAAAUGGUGUCUAUUCCAUAUACGGAAAGGCAGUGGUUUUCUGAUUUUUGUGAUAACUAUGCUAAUGGACUAUAUUAAUUCAAUUAAGCAAUCUCAUCAAUUAUGAAAUACUGCUGUCCGCUAGAAGGUCUUAAGAGUACUUUGUAGAGUAGAGAUGAACAGACAAGACUGCAUGCAAACUGUGCUCCACAGAGCAUUUGCCUCUGUGAGAGGCACAGUCUGCUGACUUCAGCAUUCAACAGUAUCAGCAGCCCUUUAUGAACAAUGUUUAUCUCCUUGACUCUGUGUAUCAAGCAAGAGAUCAGUUAGUCACAUUUUUUUUUUAAUGUAUCCAAAUGUAUACACAGACAGGACAUAAUCCUCAUAUGGAUGCCAGGGUUCUACUAAUGUUGGAAUUGACUUAUCUAGUGGUUUUUAUUUUUUCUAACUGGCAGAUUAGUACCUGAACUGUAGUAAGCAUCUGCAAGAAGCCUCUGAAUACCAUAAUAUCAUAAAAGUUCUCUAAAAAGAGUACUGAGUCUAGGAAAAGCACGAUUACAAUAGUCUGGUUGGUUUUCAUAUACAAUAUUUUAAACAUAAACCAAUGCAACAAAUGUAACUGAAUUUUCUGGGUUUUUGUUUUUGUGUUUGCUUUUUUUUUUUUUUUUUUUUUUUUUCCCCCACUAAUAGGGCAGAGCAUUUUGAAGGGUUCUGUUUAAAACACUGACAAUAGCCAAAUAUUUGCAUGGGAUAUUUUUUCAUAUUUAUAUUAAUAAAAAACAAACCUUCCUUUCUCUGGUUGUAAGACGAUUGUUAUGUCUCUACACAUUUUCUUAAUGCUUAGUGAAAAUAUCAUAUUGUCUAUCAUCACUUUUCAUAAUAUUUUUGUAUAGCAAAAUGAAUUUCUCAGACAUCAAGUGGAAUUAUUGAAAUGUAAUGCAAAUAUUUCAGCUUUUUAAAAAUCAGCUUCAAAUCAGUAAAUCAAGAAGUAUAUCUAUUCAGGGUACUUUGGGAAUGGGAAGAUUCUGAAUUUUGUCUAAAUUUCAUUUCAAGUUAGCAAUUCCAUACUGCUCAUGCAGUAAUUCAAGUUUGACAGUGAGAAACCUUAGAGAGUAAAUAACUCUCUUGGAUUACACUAAUACAACAAGUACAAGUAAAAGCAUCUGGUUUUUCAGCUACUGACUAUAGUGAGAAAAGAUUUAAGUUUUCUAGGAUGUGGUUGAAAAGAUCUUUGAGAACUUAAUAGCAAGUCAAACAUGCUUAUUUUUCUGCUUUUUUAAGAAAUGUUGUAUUUGAGAGUUCUGUUCAAGGUUAUAUUACAAUUACCUUAUUAUUAAAAAUGAAAAUGAGUGAGUAGGUUGCAGUUUUUUCAUUUUGUGUUCACUUUCGUAUUUUCAUGUAACUAGAUUUUUGGAAGAGAUGUUAAAUUUAUAAUAUCGCGUUUACAAUAAUAUAAUUGAUGUCAUAAAGGAAGAGCAGUUAGCAAUGAUCACUUGGAAAAAAAAAAAUCCAACUGAUCUGUAUAAUAUCAUAGAACCAUAAUCUUAGCUUCUGCAGAAAUCACUUCCAGAUAUUAAAUAGAGUGUGUAUAUUUUUUUUAAUCUUGUGGUUGGAAUUAAUAGAGGUAAUAAAAUAUUCAGGUUAGCAUUUAAAAACAAGUUUUCCUUCAUCCUUUGUGAUGGGACUUAAGUGUGAUUAGGAAUUGAAAGCAUGCAAGGAUUAUUAUUAUUAUUCGUAUCUUGCAGAAUGUUAAUACAAUUUAGUAGCAAAAAAUGAAUAUCCAAAGCAGUAUCUUUUCAUAUUAAUAUAGGGUAUAUGGUUCAGUAGUAUACUUAUAAGAACAGUACCCAAUGUGUUAGAUAAUUUGCUAAUAAAAAUUCCAGUUGUUAUUGAUAUGUAACCUAAGAAAAACAAGUGGUUCUUGUCUAAAACUGAAGUUCAGCAUAGGAAAAUGUAAGAAAAAUACACAUCAUUCCAUCUUUCUUGCAUAUGCAUACCAUUUUACUUCUCAUUAUUUUGCAGGUUAUGUUUGCAAGAAUGCUUACAUGAGUAUGUACCAUCCCUCAUAUUUAUAACACAAUAAGAACAUGUAUUCAAUAUUUGAACUAUACUGAAUUUCUGUUUUGGGGACGUAGCAGUAAUUCCUGCAGUAGUUCACUCUAAUAAGCUCUAAGGGCUCUGCAAAGACUAAUUCUAGGUGACACAUGUAUCAGUCAGGGCUCAAAGACUGAACACACUACACUUGGGUUGCAUUCAAUUGAUUUGCCAAUUGAAGACAAGUAUUGCAGGUUAACUUUGGUAAAAUAUAAACAUAAUGGCUGAAAAUCAGAGGCUUGUGCAAACACUCAAUGUUCUUCCUUUUCUGACUUAAAACUGAUCCAGUUAUUCCUUAUCUUUGGUCAUGAUUCCUAGUCUCAGGUUAUUGUCUGAAAGUUUGCGUAUUAUUUUUGCGCCUUUUUGUCUAAGGAAGAAAGGGAAAUGCAAUCAGAUAAAAAAUUUAAUACUCCUAUCUUUAAUCAUAUUGUCCAAAUUCCAUUCCGAUUUUUAAUUAUAUAUGUAGGAUAUCAGAACUAUAAAGAGAGUAUGCUGAAGUUUAUAUUUGUUUAAUCUGAACCCCAGGGUGCACAUUUUCCACCUUGCUUAGCUGAUUUAAUAUCCAACUGGUGUAUAGCAUGGCUUUAUCACAAAAAGUUAUGUCACAUUAACUAUGUUGUAUUUCAACAGGCAAACACAAGACACUGUGUAAUAGCUUCAGCUGCUCAGUGGUGUGGUGAUGAUAUCUUCUGUCUUAUUAUAGCUGCUUGGAUGCUCCAAAGAAAGAUCACUUGAAAGGUUUCUAAAACUGUAUCUUUUAUAGCAGACGUGUGAAGGGAUGUGCAAAUCAAAAGGCUUCUGUCAUUUCUGGCUGAAGGCCAAGCAUCUUGGAACAACUCAGCAGAGAGUUUGAAUUGCACACUCCAUUAUCUAUAGUGGAGUAAACCUAAUAGUCAGAAUUCUUCUGAAGUGAUCAAAAAUUUAUGCCCAGGCAGGCUUACAGUGUUGGAGGUGCAUACAGUGUAUUAGGAAUUAAAACAUCACAUUUGAAUAGUUCUGCCAAAUUUUUGUCUCUUUCUGCUAUAAUUUCAGGAGAACUUGGUGGCUACUAUUAAGAUUAGUGAGAUAUUUUAAAUAAGUUAUUUAUUGAGUAAGUUUGCAUUGGAAGAAUAUUUAGUGAGAUUAGUGUCACUGUUAAGAGACAGCUGAACACUUUGGCAAAUUUAACAAGGAAUUUAAAAGUUAAUAAAGAAGAAAUGUAUGUAUCUCACCCUUAUGUCCCUAUAAAAAAUGAAUCUCAUCAUGUAAGAGAAAAUCUCCCAUUUGAACUAUGACAAAUCUCAUUCAUUUGUUAAAGAAUUAUUGAUGCUUCUUGUGAAAAACUGAUAACAAACUGGCGAGAGUUGCUGUAUUUAAAUAAAUCUUAGCAAAACAUUUUUUUGACCAGUAUAUCCUUUCUAUGGUUUGUGAGACUUGACAGUUGUAAUACAAAGGCACAGUUUUCUUCUACUUCUCUUCAAAAAUAUGAUCUGUCUUCAUGUUCUUCGGAUAUCAAAGCAUGGUUUUGUUGAAGUGGAGGAAAAUACUGCUUGUCUUGUUUGCAGCUAGGGAGAUCCUGACCAGAAAAGAAGAACAGAUAUUUGGUACAUAACUUUUGAAAAUAUGAAAGAUGGGAACUGAGAGGAGGGCAGGCAGGCAGGUGGGGAAGGGCUGAAGCACUGACAUCACACUGCACUACAGGAGGCUGCUGUGGUCUUUGCCUCCAUUGUUCAUAGUGAAUUUUCACCUAGCAUGUAUUUUCUGGUACAUCAGCAUGCAAAUGAAAUUGACAAUAUUAAUAAGCCUCAAGGGUCAUCCUUCCCUCUACCUAUGACAAGAGCUGUUUAAUCUGUUUUCUAUUUAGUUAUA